rnacentral:rRNA from 1 species
UACGAAGGGGGCUAGCGUUGCUCGGAAUUACUGGGCGUAAAGCGAGUGUAGGCGGUUUGGUAAGUCGGAUGUGAAAGCCCCGGGCUCAACCCGGGAAGUGCACUCGAUACUGCCAAGCUAGAGUAUCGGAGAGGUUGGUGGAAUUCUCGGUGUAGAGGUGAAAUUCGUAGGUAUCGAGAGGAACACCGGUGGCGAAGGCGGCCAACUGGACGAAUACUGACGCUGAGACUCGAAAGCGUGGGGAGCAAACAGG